rnacentral:SRP_RNA from 1 species
GUUGGGUGUGGUGCCCCGUAACAGUAGUCCCUGAUGCUGAGGAGGUGAGUAUGUUGGAUUGCUUAAGUAGAGAAAUCCUGAGUUAUAAGGCUAAAGCCAGUUAAGUGUGUCUGCAUUAAGUCUGGCACCAAUAUGGUGAGCCCUUAGGAGUGGGGGCUACCAGGUUGCUUGAGGAGGGAUGAAUUGGUCCAGGUUGGAAAUAGAGCAGGUCAAAGUUUCUAUUUCAAUCAGCAAUGGAGUCAGCUCAUGAGUAACCUUUGUCCUUCCACUCUGGGUGAGAUAAGAAGAUAAAACUU